GGCUCUGUAGUUCAAUGGAUAGAACGAAAGUUUCCUAAACUUUAAAUUCGAGUUCGAUUCUCGGCAGAGCUA
rnacentral:tRNA from 1 species